rnacentral:rRNA from 1 species
AGUACUUGGAUGGAGGACCGC